GGGGACGCUAGGCCUCGAUGGAAAGAUCCUUUAAAACAAGCAAACCGAGGAUGUCAGCAUCUCGUAAAAAUCUGGCAAAAAUUAAGUGCAAACAAAUACGCACCUGCUGUAGCAUAAAACCUAUAGCCAUCCUGGCUGAAGAUUCUCAAUAUGCAGCCUAGGGUGAUAUAACCAUUGAGAUAAGUAUCUUUUUUAUCCUUUGAAAAGAUGCUGAAAAUAUAAAAGGAUAAGUUGAUUAAGUUUUUGCUUGCUUUAUACUUAUUCAACCAAACUCUAAGCAAGCUAAGUUUGUAGACUUGUUUUAAAAACCUUUCUAGACGUGGGUUCGAUUCCCACCGUCUCCACUA
rnacentral:tmRNA from 1 species